AACGAACGCUGGCGGCAUGCCUAACACAUGCAAGUCGAACGAGACCUUCGGGUCUAGUGGCGCACGGGUGCGUAACGCGUGGGAAUCUGCCCUUGGGUUCGGAAUAACAGUUAGAAAUGACUGCUAAUACCGGAUAAUGUCUUCGGACCAAAGAUUUAUCGCCCAGGGAUGAGCCCGCGUAGGAUUAGCUAGUUGGUGAGGUAAAGGCUCACCAAGGCGACGAUCCUUAGCUGGUCUGAGAGGAUGAUCAGCCACACUGGGACUGAGACACGGCCCAGACUCCUACGGGAGGCAGCAGUGGGGAAUAUUGGGACAAUGGGCGAAAGCCUGAUCCAGCAAUGCCGCGUGAGUGAUGAAGGCCUUAGGGUUGUAAAGCUCUUUUACCCGGGAUGAUAAUGACAGUACCGGGAGAAUAAGCCCCGGCUAACUCCGUGCCAGCAGCCGCG
rnacentral:rRNA from 1 species